CAGUAACUCCUUUGUAAUAGAUAAUUUCUAGAUGGUUUCCCAUUUAUGGACUGAAGGUAUACCCUUCCUCCUGCUCCCAUGCAAACUCGUAUGUUGAAAUCCCAGCCCUCAAUGUAAUGGUAUUGUGGUGUGGGGCCUCUAGGAGGUGAUUAGGUCAUGAGAGUGGAGGCCUCAUAAAUGCGAUUAGCGCCCUCAUAAAAGAGAUCUUGGAGAGAUCCCUCUCUCAUCCUCUUUCCACUGUACUAGGAUAUAAGAAGUCAGCCAUCUGGAAGCAGGGAGAGAACCUUCAUAGAACCUGACCAUGCCUAUACCUUAGACUGACCUUAGACUUCCAGCCUCCAGAACUGUAAGACUGUUUAUAAUCCACCCAUCUGUUGUACUUUGUAACAGCAGCUUGAACUGAGACAGGUUCCAUUUGCACACGGUCUACCUGGGUCAUCUAUGGCUCAUCCUGCUUUGCUGUUCCUCCAACAUUCACCGAGACCUGACUUUAUAUUCUGAGGUGUUCAAGACAUUCAUUGGCCUAUCUAGCAGGGACUGACUGAGACGGCUACUUCUGUAGGGGGUCACUCCCUGGUCCUUCUAGCCUGCCCUGUGCACAGGUUGAGGACAGUCCUGUGGCUGGAGAAAGCUGGAUCUGAAGGUUGUAGAAACUUGCGGAAAGAAGCCAUCAAAGUGACUUGGAAAGGUUGAAUAAGUAGAUAUGCGUUGCCACUGAAAUGCUAGAAAUUAAUGAAGACGAUAAAAAAUUCGUAAGCCAAAAACCAAUGGCAAGCAACUCGGGUACAUACUUGUAAGUUUUCCCAAACUUGAGAAGAUAAUCAAAGUCAUGGCUGAGAAGAAGGAAAAGAGAGGGAAGCAGAGGCUGUGGGGCAGGGAAAGGUCCGGUUGACCUACAGAAGUUGGGUUACCCUCCCUGCCUCCACUGAGGAUCACCAAGAAGAAAGUAGAAAGACAAUAAAAGACUUGUGAAGAUUU